rnacentral:rRNA from 1 species
GAUGAACGCUAGCUACAGGCUUAACACAUGCAAGUCGAGGGGUAACGAGAGGAAAGCUUGCUUUCCUUGUUGACGACCGGCGCACGGGUGAGUAACGCGUAUCCAACCUGCCCCCAACUAAGGAAUAACCUUGCGAAAGUAAGACUAAUACCUUAUAAUUUCCUCAGAUGACAUCUGACGAGGAAUAAAGAUUUAUCGGUUGCGGAUGGGGAUGCGUCUGAUUAGCUUGUUGGCGGGGUAACGGCCCACCAAGGCAACGAUCAGUAGGGGUUCUGAGAGGAAGGUCCCCCACAUUGGAACUGAGACACGGUCCAAACUCCUACGGGAGGCAGCAGUGAGGAAUGUUGGUCAAUGGGCGGAAGCCUGAACCAGCCAAGUAGCGUGCAGGAUGACGGCCCUAUGGGUUGUAAACUGCUUUUAUACAGGAAUAAAGUUAGCCACGUGUGGUUAUUUGUAGGUACUGUAUGAAUAAGGACCGGCUAAUUCCGUGCCAGCCGCCGCAGUAA